rnacentral:lncRNA from 1 species
AUGGCAUCCCUUGGGGACAAGGCAUCCCUUUGGGAAUACGGGAUCCUUUUGGGACAUGGCACCUCUUUGGGAAUACGGGAUCCUUUUGGGACGUGGCAUCCUUUUGGGACACGCCAUCCCUUGGGGACACCCCAUCACGGCACCGGGUGCCACGUGGAGCGAUCCAGGGGCUCCCCAACACCUCCUCCACCCCCCGGCCACCCUACCCGAGGGCAGCGAAGCCCCGGGGCCCCCGGGAGCCCGCUCCCGGCUGGGGCCGGCGGCCAGGCGGGCUGUGCCGGCGCUUCUCCGAGCACCAUCUGGUUUCCAACUAACAAACGCCCGGCGCUGGCUCCCGGCAGAGGACUUGCUGCUGCUGCUGCUGCCGCGGCUGUUUACAGCGUGCCGAGGCUCUGGCACGGCCCCGCUGAGUCCCCUUCGGCUUUUCCCCCAGCUGCACGGGCGUGCAAAGCCCCGGCCCCGCGUCCCUGCCCCUGCCCGACCUCCGUUUCCCCCGGGGCCCUGUGGCUGAGCCGGGGCUGCCCGUCCCUGGGGUGUCCUCGAGGGUUUUCCCGUCCCGUCUGCGUGAUGGGGUGGGAUGCGCAAUAUGGGGGCCGCGUGGGCGCCCCAACCCGUUUCCUCCUCUCUGGGUGCUGGCUGGGUGGCGUGGUGCCCCCAAUCCCAUCCCUGCACCCCAAAAAGCUCCCGACACAUCCCUGGGGCAGGCCUGGGGGUGUCCCCAAGGCGGGGGGACGAAGCCCUGGGCCCCCACCCCGGGUUGGGGCUCCCCCAGCCGCUGGUGCCGCGGAGCCACCGCGCAGGGUGGGGGCUGCGCGGAGCCAUUUGCCUUUAAUUGAAUUUAUUUGUUACAACCCCAAACAAUGUAAAGCAGGCUUCUCCCAGGCUCCAGCUGCCUGGCUGCCCAUUAAAAUACCAUCUAGAACAGCAAAUCCCCCCUCCCGCCUUGAUAUAAAACAGCCGGUCAGCACCGAGCGGCAGGCGAAGCCUCCCCAAGCGCCGGCCUUUCCCCGCGCGCCCUCCCGCUCCCCCGGGGCCGCUGUCCCACGGGGGCUCCGUGCCCGGCCCCAAAUCCCCUCCCGGGUGGCCCUGGGGGACACGAGGGGGACCCGGAGCCCCGGGGCUGCCCCGGAGCUCGGCGUGGCUCAGCGCUAUCCCACCCAUGGGCGUUUUCAAUCCCGCUGGUGGCCUUGUGCUCGGGGUUGGCGUCCCCAAUCCCGGGGGCGUUUGGGGUGCCCACACCGGCCCCACACCGUGAUGCUCGGGGGCUGGGGGCCAGGCAGGGGAGCCUGGCGUUGGCACGGGCGAGCCGGGAUGGGGUUGGGACAGCAUCCCGGGGGGCUCGGUGGGCAUCCCGAGGCUCCCUGA